AUGCGUCAGAGCCGUCAGAUGUAAGUGGUUUGUUUAUUGAUCAUUUUAUUUGUCGAGUCAUUUAGAUUGAGAAGAAGGAGAGAGCUACAAUGCCUGGAGGUAUACCAGAUUACUGCACAAACUCUGCCAAAAAAGGUUAUAAAAUGUGUCAUUUUCCAUGAGACCCAGUCAAAAAUUUGGGCUAAAAACACAGGAAAACAAGACUGGAUUCCGUCUGAUAAUUCGGUGUUAUGUGAGGUAUAUAUUAGUGCCACGAAUGUAUUGCUGCCAAAGGAUCAAAGACAACAAUAAGUGCAUACUUUUGAUGCAUUUUGCGUAUUAAAUGUUUCAAAAGAGACAUUAUUUUAUGUCAAUCUUUCAAGUUUUGGUUUUUUAAAAGCAUGGAAUCAAUAAUUAAACAAAACUUCGAUGUUCCAAAACCUUCUGUAUUUGCUGUUAAAUUGUCACGAUCUCAAAAUAAUUAAAAAAUAUUGCAUAUUUCAUUUGAAAACGCUUUCUGUGAUAAUCCGUGAUAACAGAUCCAACUUUGCUAGUAAAAAUUGAUUUCUUCAAAACACCGACAUAUGAAAACAAAAAAGAGGAAAGACGAAACUGAAGAUAGAGAGAAAAC